GGAUCUAGAUCUAAGCUUGCUUAGAUUUAGUGAGAGUGGCGCACGGGUGCGUAACGCGUGAGCAACCUACCCAUAUCAGGGGGAUAGCCCGGAGAAAUCCGGAUUAACACCGCAUGACACAACGACUCGGCAUCGAGAUGUUGUUAAAUAUUUAUAGGAUAUGGAUGGGCUCGCGUGACAUUAGCUAGUUGGUAAGGUAACGGCUUACCAAGGCUACGAUGUCUAGGGGCUCUGAGAGGAGAAUCCCCCACACUGGUACUGAGACACGGACCAGACUCCUACGGGAGGCAGCAGUAAGGAAUAUUGGUCAAUGGAGGGAACUCUGAACCAGCCAUGCCGCGUGCAGGAUGACUGCCCUAUGGGUUGUAAACUGCUUUUGUCCAGGAAUAACCACCACUACGUGUAGUGGCUUGAAUGUACUGGAAGAAUAAGGAUCGGCUAACUCCGUGCCAGCAGCCGCGGUAAUACGGAGGAUCCGAGCGUUAUCCGGAUUUAUUGGGUUUAAAGGGUGCGUAGGCGGCUCAUUAAGUCAGGGGUGAAAGACGGCAGCUCAACUGUCGCAGUGCCUUUGAUACUGAUGAGCUUGAAUGUGGUUGAAGAUGGCGGAAUGAGACAAGUAGCGGUGAAAUGCAUAGAUAUGUCUCAGAACUCCGAUUGCGAAGGCAGCUGUCUAAGUCAUUAUUGACGCUGAUGCACGAAAGCGUGGGGAUCGAACAGGAUUAGAUACCCUGGUAGUCCACGCCCUAAACGAUGAUAACUCGAUGUUGGCGAUACACAGUCAGCGUCUUAGCGAAAGCGUUAAGUUAUCCACCUGGGGAGUACGCCCGCAAGGGUGAAACUCAAAGGAAUUGACGGGGGCCCGCACAAGCGGAGGAGCAUGUGGUUUAAUUCGAUGAUACGCGAGGAACCUUACCCGGGCUUGAAAGUUACUGAAUUAUCUAGAGAUAGAUAAGUCCUUCGGGACAGGAAACUAGGUGCUGCAUGGCUGUCGUCAGCU
rnacentral:rRNA from 1 species